rnacentral:rRNA from 1 species
GGCCCUAUGGGUUGUAAACCUCUUUUGUCGGAGAACAAAACCCGGGACGAGUCCCGGACUGCGUGUAUCCGAAGAAAAAGCAUCGGCUAACUCCGUGCCAGCAGCCGCGGUAAUACGGAGGAUGCGAGCGUUAUCCGGAUUUAUUGGGUUUAAAGGGUGCGUAGGCGGUCCGUUAAGUCAGCGGUAAAAUUGCGGGGCUCAACCCCGUCGAGCCGUUGAAACUGGCAGACUUGAGUUGGCGAGAAGUACGCGGAAUGCGCGGUGUAGCGGUGAAAUGCAUAGAUAUCGCGCAGAACUCCGAUUGCGAAGGCAGCGUACCGGCGCCAGACUGACGCUGAGGCACGAAAGCGUGGGGAUCGAACAGGAUUAGAUACCCUGGUAGUCCACGCAGUAAACGAUGAAUGCUGGUUGUCCGGGUCGAAUGAGACCUGGGCG